GAGAAAAGUGAAUUCUGAGAUUUGAAUAAUGCAUCUGACGUGUGUGAUGACGUCACGACGCACGUAUUUUGAUUUUUACCAGUCGUUCAAGACGGACGGAUUCAGUCCCAAGAAGCUAAAGUUUUUCAAAGACAUUUGUAGGGAGGACUUUGCAGCUAAUGAUUUCCUUAGGCUGAACCAAAACCUGCCAGACUAAAGUUGAUUUGGGAGAGAAAGACGUUGUAAACUCACUCAUCUUGACAUUCU